rnacentral:lncRNA from 1 species
UGUAUGUAAAUGAAUACAUUUACGUACAUUUGUUAAAAUGUAUGUAAUGAAUACAUUUACAUACAUUUGUUUAAAAAAAACUUGAAUUUUUUAUGAAUGAAAUUUCUGUAUUGUUUCCAAAAAGAGAGAGAUUCAAACAUGACUUGCUUCACAUGAAGAAAUUUGAUUUCAGAAAUGUCCUAUAUUUAAAUAAGCAAAGCCAUUGAAAUUGAAGCACAUUUCUUAUUUGAAGCAUCUGGGAAAUACAACUGUUAAGUAUCUCUCAAAUAUUCAGUAUAUGGAAUUUAUACCCACAUUUGUUUGUAUAUCUAUUUGUAAGCUGUUGCUUAGAAGAAUUGAGAGUUUGGAUUAUUUCAGAAUACAACUAUUACAGUUUUCCAUAGUUGAUUGAAAGUUUUUAAACUCAAACUUUCAUUGGUAGAAUAUCUGGAAGGCAUGUUUGCAAUAUAAUGUGGCUUGUAGGAUCUCUCCUACUUUUUUACGCUCUGUUUUGCCAGUUCUCAAAAGUAAAUACCUGAAGUCCUAGAGGUACUAUAAACAUUUUGGUAAACAUUCUUUGAGACUUUUUCUCAUGUACAUGUAAAUAUACAUCAUCCCAAGUUAAAUUUGAUAGGCCUUCCUGACAGUAGCCAUAUAGAUAAAUAGAAGUUUUCGUUGGUUUAGUGGCAAAACUGAAUUCUUAAUGUAGGUAUACAAGUUAAAUAUGAUGGUUAGAAAUGAAGUUUUCUGAAAGUAGUUCGUUGUAUGCUCCCUAAAAGAAUUAGCUUUAUAUUUAUCUUAAGAAUAUCUCUAAACCUAUGCAAAAAUAUGGCAAAUAGUCUUCUUUCCAUUAGUCUAGUUCAACAAAAUCUGACUCAGAGACAGUAAAGAAAGGGCAAGUAGAAGAUCUAAUGCCAACUAAGAAGAUAAUUAUUUCUGAAAUAUUUAGUUGAAGAUAACUUUCUUUCUUAAGACAUUACUGUUGUUAUGAUGCACAAGUCAAAGAACAUGUGGCAUUUCCAAAGAGUAUUAAAUGCAUGUUACUUUUUUAUAAAAAUAAGAUAAAUGAGAUUAAUGGGGCUUGGAACUGCAAUCUUGGUAAAUAAAGUUACUGUAUGUCUUUCACGAGUGUGUGACAUGAGGAUUGAAUAGACAGAAUUGCUUGUUAGAAAGAGGAACUAAUUUUUGUAUCUAUUACAAAUUAUAUUUGUAAUUCUUCCCUAAUUAUAAAUUAUCAUGAUUAUUUUUAUUUGGGAAAUACCAAAAAAUCAUAAAUAACUAAUCUAAACUUACAGAAUCCUAUCAUCCAAAAAUGGCCAUUAAUGACAGUUUGAUAGAUUUAUUGCAGUUUUUUUGUAUCCAUUUAUCUUUCUUGUUCAUUUUUUCUUCUUUCCUAACAAAUUGAAGUAAUGCCAUAAAUUCUGUUUCAUACUUUGCUUUAUGUACCCUUACAGCAUGAACAUUUUUCAUAUCUUUAUUGCCCAAACAUAAUUUUAAUGUAUAUUAAAUAGUUCAUCAUUUGAAUGAUCUAUACUUUAUAUACUUUAUAUUUCUCAAAAUAAUUAAAUUGUCCAAAUUUUGGCACAUUUAGAUUAUUCAAAUUUUUGAACGUAGGGAACUCACUGAUAAAUAUAAUUAUACAUAAACCCUAGACCACAUCUCUCGUGAUAUUAUUAGUAUAGAUUCCUAGAAGUAGAGUUGCUAUGUCAAAAGUAUGAAGAUUUAUUUUCUAUUUUCAUCUUUAAUCGGAUUUUCAUUAUAAAAAAACAAGGCCAGGUGUGGUGGCUUAUGCCUGUAAUCCCAACACUUUGGGAGGCUGAGGCAGGAGGAUCACCUGAACCCAGGAGUUUGAGAACAGCCCACGCGACAUGGCAAAGCC